GAACUGAAGAGUUUGAUCAUGGCUCAGAUUGAACGCUGGCGGCAGGCUUAACACAUGCAAGUCGAGCGGUAGCAGGCCUUCGGGUGCU
rnacentral:rRNA from 1 species